UACGAAGGGGGCGAGCGUUGUUCGGAAUCACUGGGCGUAAAGGGUGCGUAGGCGGCGCGGUAAGUCGGGUGUGAAAUCUCGGAGCUUAACUCCGAAACUGCAUUCGAUACUGCCGUGCUUGAGGACUGGAGAGGAGACUGGAAUUUACGGUGUAGCGGUGAAAUGCGUAGAUAUCGUAAGGAAGACCAGUGGCGAAGGCGGGUCUCUGGACAGUUCCUGACGCUGAGGCACGAAGGUCAGGGGAGCAAACGGG
rnacentral:rRNA from 1 species